UACGGGGGGGUGCGAGCGUUGUCCGGAAUCACUGGGCGUAAAGGGCGCGUAGGUGGUUUGUUAAGUCUGCUGUGAAAGCCCCGGGCUCAACCUGGGAAUGGCAGUGGAGUACUGGCAAGCUAGAGUGCGGUAGAGGGGUGUGGAAUUCCCGGUGUAGCGGUGAAAUGCGUAGAGAUGGGAGGAACACCAGUGGCGAAGGCGGCACCCUGGACCAGCACUGACACUGAGGCACGAAAGCGUGGGGAGCAAACAGG
rnacentral:rRNA from 1 species